UCCUGUUCUCCGGUAGAAGAUCCUUGCUUUUUUUUUUCUUCCCGUUUUUUUUCCUUGAAGGCCGCGGCGCAGAUACGUGGAGAAAUGAUUUGAAUAUGGAUGCUCGGUGCCGCUCUAUUUAGCUGCUCCCUGGAUGUGGCUUUAUUGUUUUCUCUGAAAUUACCCUGCCUGAUUUACUAGGAUAAAGCGCGGCUCCGCCGGCUCUCCAGUGAUUAAUAAUUUGAAGACAUUUACAUUUCAAUACGGAUUCUUACCACUGGUUUCCCUCCUAAUUUUUCCCCUACGGAGAUGCGGAAUAUCCCUACUGGGGCAGGACAGACAGCGCACGCCGAGAUGAGAAAGUGCGUUCUCUCCAAAUAUAUUCACACUUUUUUUUUUCCUUUCGCCGAACUCCCAGGUUUACGGCAUCAGCAUCUCCUGCAGAAGAAGCCAUCACAUCUGCAUCUGUCUUUUGUAACAACAUUAUGGAAAUCAGCCAGGAAAUAUAGAAGCCGGAUGAUUUAUCUUUACGGCAAUUAUACAUUUCAGACAUAAGAGAGAAGCUUGAGAUAAUAGCAGGAUUUGAAAUGUUCCGAUAUAUCCGAAGCAUCAAAACUCCGGCGUCUUGUACUGACGGCUCCAAAAUAUAAUUAAUCAUUGUAAAGUUGUCUAUUCAAUCGCUUGACAGUGCGAUGAUCGGUUAUACGGGGGCUGGAGUUAGGAUUUUAUGGAUAAAAUACAAGUUUUGCAGAUUAAAAAAAAAAAAUUAUAAUAAUUAUAUUUUUUUGCUGUUGUUGUUGCUGUUGUUUGCCGUC